CUGUAUAACCUUCAAACAAAUUAUAAUUCAUUCUAUGUCUAAAUACCCUAAUACACCAAUACACCAUGCAUCUUUUAUAUAAUAAUACUACUAUGCCCUCUUACACAACCGGUAAAACCUGUAAACUAAAAAAAACUAAAUUAAUAAUACUUACCUUACACACAUACAACAUGGCCUUUGGAGAAUCACAUACCUUGUAGAACGUGGGUUGUUUCUUCUCCAUUUUUGAUCCACUGUGUAACCACCAAAACCAUUUCUGGAGUAGCUUUGCCUAUGAGAUGCCCAUCUGCAAUGACUCGCUUCGCUACUGACAAAAAGCUUUGCGCAUCUGAAAUCUAUGGAGUCGCCGACAACGUAAACGGCACCGCCGAAAGGUUCGUCAACUCUUCCUUCAAUCACCUUAAUCUUUUCGGUUUACGAGGCGGUUACAUGUACUAUUCUCACGGAUGUUGCCAGUUACACAUAUCUUUCUCGCUGUGAAUAUCCUUGAAUUGAUCGGAGAAGAUGAACAGUUUUUGUAACAUUGUGUUCUAUUCUAUUUUAUGCGUAUAGAAUAGAAAUGUAAAACAAUAUGUAUUAUGAAUGUUUUAUUCAUGUUAUGUAAUGUAAAAUAGUCUGUUACUAUAUGUAUUUAUCAUGUAUCGUUCCAGUUGAUGAUUAAUAAAGAAGGUGUUAUUUUCUUCACCAAGUACUAUACUAUGUAUUUUUUUCCAUUCUAUUUGAGUUUAGAGUUUAUAUUUGGGUUUAGGGUUUAUUGAUUAAGAUUUAGGGUUUAGUAUUUGAAAGGUGGGGUUGAGGUUUGAUGGUGACCCUAUCAUGUAUUGUUCCAUUUGACGAUUAAUAAAGAGUGUUCUAUUUUGUUCACCAAUAUGUACUAUACUAUGUAUUUUGUUUCAUUAUAUUUGGGUUUAGGGUUUAUACUUGGGUUUAGGGUUUAUACUUAGGUUUAGGGUUUAUACUUGGGUUUAGGGUUUAGUUAUUUAAAUUUAGGGUUUAGUAUUUGGAAGGUAGGGGUUGAGGUUUGGGUUUAGUGAUAGCCAUAGUAUUUAGGAGUUGGGAUAGUGUUUAGUAUUUAAAGAUUAUGGAUGUGGUUUUAGUAUUUCUAUAAUACUUAGUGAUUAGGGUGAUUAGUGACUAGAAUUUAGGGUUUAGUAUUUAGAAGGUGAGGGGGUAUGGUUGGGGUCAGCGUUAACUUCUUUCAUGCAAUCAUAGAUAUUUUAUAGUUUCACCAAUAUGUACUAUGUUAUUUAUUUUGUUCCAUUCUAUUUGGGUUUUGUGUUUAUAUUUGAAUUUUGGUUUAUAGGUUCUUGCCUAGGGUUUAGAUUUACUAAGUAAAUGUUUGGGUAUAGUAAACCAUAUUAUAUACAUUCUAUUUGGGUUUAUACUUCCUUGAUUAGGGUUUAGCUUAAUCUAUUUAUUUAGGUUUAGCGUUUAGGGUAUAUUUGGAUUAGGGUUUAGUGACUGGAAUUUAGAGUUUAGUAUUUAGAAGGUGAGGGGUAUGGUUGGGUCAACACUAACUUCUUUCAUGCAAUCAUAGACAUUUUAUAGUUUCACCAAUAUGUACUAUGUUAUUUAUUUUGUUCCAUUCUAUUUGGGUUUUGUGUUUAUAUUUGGGUUUAGGGUUUAUAUUUGAGUUAGGGUUUAGUGAUUAGAAUUUAGAAUUUAGUAUUUGGAAAUUUAUGUUUUUUUGGGUUUAGGGUUUAUACACUUUUUAUUUUUUUUUUAAAUUAUGUUUCUAUCCGCUCAUUCUACUUCAUAUAGUAAAUAAAUAUGUUAUAAGUAAAUUUGUGACAUGAGUUCUUUUACGUGAUGUGUUUGUAAAUAAUAGUGAUUCGUUAUUGACCAGCAAUAAGAAAAUUUUGGAUGGAUUAAAUUGGUACGUGGCUGCAUGUGUUUCUAUCAAAUAAAGUAGUAUUUAAUUUAAUCUUUACCCUACGUUAUUUUGACCAAGUCAUAUCUAGCAAUACAAUAUUACCGGAUGAUUAAUGGAAGAAGGGGCAGAACCGGAUAACAAUUGGCAUAAAUGAUAGAUAUUACAUUACGUCAAAAUCAAUGCUACUCACUUAAUUUUGAUGCCAAAGUUGGUUAUUCAGCAAAUUGAUAACUGAUAAAUUAUUAUGUUACAUAGACUUAUAGAUCAUUGCUUCUAAGUCUUUUGAAAAUGUAUUUACUCUUCUCUCUAUCUGAUCUCGUAGGUCUCUCUGGCGAUAACACGGAUGACCAUGGAAAGGUGUAUGAGUCGAAGCAGCUCGAAAACGGCAGUCUAUACGUGCGUUUAGACAUGCCUGGCGUCAGGGCCGGCUUACAACGGGGGACAAGCGGUGUAACCGCCCCGGGUCCGAGUCCGUGUCCCCCCGUGUAAUGAUAAAUAAGGGGUCCAAUUUUUUUAUAAAUUUAUAUUUUUAUAUAUAAAAAAAAUUAUAAAUACAAUAAAUAAAAUUGAAAAGGGUCCAAAAUUAUUUGAUAUGUAUAUAGUUUUAUUUUCAUUACAAAAUAUAUAAAAUAUUAUUGAUUAAAUUUUAAAAAUAUUUUAAACAUUAUCUCUGUAUAAAUUUUAGAGAGUAAAAAAUUUUUUUUUGCCCUAGGGCCCUAUCAUUAUUGAGCCGGUCCUGCCUGGCGUUCCCAAAGACAACUUUGCUGUCACAGUCGCUAACGGGAUAGUGAAGGUGACUGGUCAAGCUCCUUCCGUUAGCCACGACUCUGCUGGUCGGUUCUACUCUGGUGACGUGGCUAUGCUCUCAGCUCCUGUCAACAUUCCUAGCCGUCGGAUCAAAACAAUCGCCAAGAACGGUGUGAUUCGCCUCCUCAUCCCUCCCCUUUGAUUUCAUGAUAUGUAUGUUUCUAGACCUUUUUGUUGGGAUUAAGCGCUUUGAUGUUUUUUAAUUUCGACUACUUUUGGA